ACUCAGGCACGAUCUGCGCCUUAUAUAUACGCACCAAUCAAGCGUUAUCUGCGCGCCGAACCGACCUGAAGUUCAAUCCUGAGGGA
rnacentral:ncRNA from 1 species